UACGAAGGGGGCUAGCGUUGCUCGGAAUUACUGGGCGUAAAGCGCACGUAGGCGGCUUCUUAAGUCGGUGGUGAAAUCCUGGAGCUCAACUCCAGAACUGCCUUCGAUACUGGGAGCUCGGAGUCCGGGAGAGGUGAGUGGGAACUGCGAGUGUAGAGGUGAAAUUCGUAGAAUAUUCGCAAGAACACCAGUGGCGAAGGCGGCUCACUGGCCCGGUACUGACGCUGAGGCACGAAAGCGUGGG
rnacentral:rRNA from 1 species